rnacentral:rRNA from 1 species
CCUACGGGUGGCAGCAGUGAGGAAUAUUGGUCAAUGGACGAGAGUCUGAACCAGUCAAGUAGCGUGAAGGAUGACUGCCCUAUGGGUUGUAAACUUCUUUUAUAUGGGAAUAAAAUGUUCCACGUGUGGGAUUUUGUAUGUACCAUAUGAAUAAGGAUCGGCUAACUCCGUGCCAGCAGCCGCGGUAAUACGGAGGAUCCGAGCGUUAUCCGGAUUUAUUGGGUUUAAAGGGAGCGUAGGUGGAUUGUUAAGUCAGUUGUGAAAGUUUGCGGCUCAACCGUAAAAUUGCAGUUGAAACUGGCAGUCUUGAGUACAGGAGAGGUGGGCGGAAUUCGUGGUGUAGCGGUGAAAUGCUUAGAUAUCACGAAGAACUCCGAUUGCGAAGGCAGUUCACUGGACUGCAACUGACACUGAGGCUCGAAAGUGUGGGUAUCAAACAGGAUUAGAUACCCGGGUAGUC